CAGUAGCCGCGGGAAUACGAAGGGGGCUAGCGUUGUUCGGAUUUACUGGGCGUAAAGGGUGCGUAGGCGGAUUGUUAAGUCAGGGGUGAAAUCCCGAGGCUCAACCUCGGAACUGCCUUUGAUACUGGCGAUCUUGAGUCCGGGAGAGGUGAGUGGAACUCCGAGUGUAGAGGUGAAAUUCGUAGAUAUUCGGAAGAACACCAGUGGCGAAAGCGACUCACUGGCCCAUUACUGACGCUGAGGCUCGAAAGCGUGGGGAGCAAACAGGAUUAGAUACCCGUGUAGUCCCUGUCUCUUAUAC
rnacentral:rRNA from 1 species